UACGUAGGGUGCGAGCGUUAAUCGGAAUUACUGGGCGUAAAGCGUGCGCAGGCGGUUCGUUGUGUCUGAUGUGAAAGCCCCGGGCUCAACCUGGGAAUGGCAUUGGAAACUGGCGAGCUAGAGUGUGGCAGAGGGGGGUGGAAUUCCGCGUGUAGCAGUGAAAUGCGUAGAUAUGCGGAGGAACACCGAUGGCGAAGGCAAUCCCCUGGGCCUGCACUGACGCUCAUGCACGAAAGCGUGGGAGCAAACAGG
rnacentral:rRNA from 1 species